rnacentral:rRNA from 1 species
UACGUAGGGGGCAAGCGUUGUCCGGAUUUAUUUGGGCGUAAAGAGCGCGUAUGGCGGCCCUGUAAGUCCGCUGAUGAAAGUCAAGGGCUCAACCCCUUGGAAUGGCCCGGUGGACUUACUAGCAGGGCUAGAGUCCGGAAGAGGCGAGUGGAAUUCCUGGUGGUAGCGGUGAAAUGCGCAGAUAUCAAGGAGGAACACCGAUAGGCGA